rnacentral:rRNA from 1 species
ACAAACGCUGGCGGCGUGCUUAACACAUGCAAGUCGAACGGUCCUCCUUCGGGAGGAUAGUGGCGGACGGGUGAGUAACACGUAGUUGACCUGCCCUUUAGUGGGGAAUAACUGCUCGAAAGAGCGGCUAAUACCGCAUAAGCUCUUCUGUGUUGACAGGAGAGGAAAUCUCUUUCGCAAGAAGGGGAGCUGAAGGAGGGGACUGCGGCGGAUUAGCUAGUUGGUGGCGGUAACGGCGCACCAAGGCGACGAUCCGUAGCUGGUCUGAGAGGAACGACCAGCCACACUGGGACUGAGACACGGCCCAGACUCCUACGGGAGGCAGCAGUGAGGAAUAUUCCCCAAUGGGCGCAAGCCUGAGGGAGCGACGCCGCGUGAAGGAUGAAGCCCUUUGGGGUGUAAACUUCUUUUUGGAGGGAUGAAACGCUGGAGCAAUCCAGCUAAGACAGUACCUCCAGAAUAAGCCUCGGCUAACUACGUGCCAGCAGCCGCGGUAAUACGUAGGAGGCGAGCGUUGUCCGGAUUUACUGGGCGUAAAGGGCGCGCAGACGGCACUCUAAGUACGCUGUGAAAUCUCCCUGCUCAACGGGGAGGGUGCAGUGUAGACUAGGGAGCUAGAGGUCGGUAGAGGGGGGUGGAAUUGCUGGUGUAGCGGUGAAAUGCGUAGAGAUCAGCAGGAACACCCGUGGCGAAGGCGGCCCCCUGGGCCGAUCCUGACGCUGAGGCGCGAAGGCUAGGGGAGCGAACGGGAUUAGAUACCCCGGUAGUCCUAGCAGUAAACGAUGGCCACUAGGUGUGGGGGGUGUUGACCCCUUCCGUGCCGCAGCUAACGCAUUAAGUGGCCCGCCUGGGGAGUACGGUCGCAAGACUAAAACUCAAAGGAAUUGACGGGGACCCGCACAAGCAGCGGAGCGUGUGGUUUAAUUCGAUGCGACGCGAAGAGCCUUACCAAGGCUUGACAUGUAUUCGCAACACUCCGAAAGGAGUGCCUCCGCAAGGACGGAUACACAGAUGAUGCAUGGCUGUCGUCAGCUCGUGUCGUGAGAUGUUGGGUUAAGUCCCGCAACGAGCGCAACCCCUGUUUCUAGUUGCAUAUCUAGAGAGACUGCCGGAGACAAACCGGAGGAAGGUGGGGAUGAUGUCAAGUCAGCAUGUCUCUUACGUCUUGGGCUACACACACGCUACAAUGGACAGUACAGCGAGAAGCCAGCCUGCGAGGGCAAGCAGAUCUCUAAAAGCUGUCCCCAGUUCAGAUUGCACUCUGCAACCCGAGUGCAUGAAGUCGGAGUUGCUAGUAACCGCGUGUCAGCAUAGCGCGGUGAAUAUGUUCCCGGGUCUUGUACACACCGCCCGUCACGUCAUGGGAGCCGGCAACACCUGAAGUCCGUAAGCUAACUCUCUCCUUGUGAGAUGAGGGGCAGCGGCCGAGGGUGGGGCUGGUGACUGGGACG